rnacentral:lncRNA from 1 species
AGACCGCCACGGUGAUUUGCAAGCAACUCACUGCACUUAGGCACUGGACUAUCUGAAUUUCUAAUUCAGUGACGGAAGGUUGCUGGGUGUAGUCAAGUACUUGACUUGUUGGUGCGUGUGUCAAGAUGGGAUUGACCACUCCAGUUCAGGAGCUGUGUACAGUCGUGUUUCAAUUUAGCAAAACCUUGGCCAGGGUAGUCCUAGUGAGG